GACGAACGCUGGCGGCGUGCUUAACACAUGCAAGUCGAACGGAAAGGCCCCUUCUGGGGUACUCGAGUGGCUAACGGGUGAGUAACACGUGAGUAACCUGCCCUUGACUUCGGGAUAACUUCAGGAAACUGGGGCGAAUACCUGAUAGGUAUCCUUUCUGCCUGGUGGGGGUUGGAAAGCUUCGGCGGUUUUGGAUGGACUCGCGGCUUAUCAGCUUGUUGGUGGGGUAGUGGCUUACCAAGGCAUUGACGGGUAGCCGGCCUGGGAGGGCGACCGGCCACAUUGGGACUGAGGUACGGCCCAGGAUCCUACGGGGGGGAGCAGUGGGGAAUAUUGCACAAUGGGCGGAAGCCUGAUGCAGGAACGCCGCGUGCGGGAUGACGGCCUUCGGGUUGGAAACCGCUUUCAGCAGGGGCGAAGCUUGUGGUGACGGUACCUGCAGAAGAAGCACCGGCUAACUACGUG
rnacentral:rRNA from 1 species